UAGUCCACGCCGUAAACGAUGGAUACUAGUUGUUGGAUUUUCGGAUUCAGUGACUAAGCGAAAGUGAUAAGUAUCCCACCUGGGGAGUACGGUCGCAAGAUUGAAACUCAAAGGAAUUGACGGGGGCCCGCACAAGCGGUGGAGCAUGUGGUUUAAUUCGAUGAUACGCGAGGAACCUUACCAGGGCUUAAAUGUAAGUUGCAUAGAGUAGAGAUAUUCUUUUCUUCGGACUACUUACAAGGUGCUGCAUGGUUGUCGUCAGCUCGUGCCGUGAGGUGUCAGGUUAAGUCCUAUAACGAGCGCAACCCCUACCGUUAGUUGCCAGCAUGUAAAGAUGGGGACUUUAAAGAGACUGCCGGUGACAAACCGGAGGAAGGUAAGGAUGACGUCAAGUCAGCAUGCCCCUUAUGCUCUGGGCUACACACGUGCUACAAUGGCCGUGACAAAGAGUUGCUACUUUGUGAAAACAAGCUAAUCUCAUAAACGCGGCCUCAGUUCGGAUUGCUAGG
rnacentral:rRNA from 1 species